GGUUAAGCGACCAAGCGUACACGGUGGAUGCCCUGGCAGUCAGAGGCGAUGAAGGACGUGCUAAUCUGCGAAAAGCGCCGGCGAGGUGAUAUGAACCCUUGACCCGGCGAUGUCCGAAUGGGGAAACCCAGUGUGACUCGUCACACUAUCAUUAACUGAAUCCAUAGGUUAAUGAGGCGAACCGGGGGAACUGAAACAUCUAAGUACCCCGAGGAAAAGAAAUCAACCGAGAUUCCCCCAGUAGCGGCGAGCGAACGGGGAGGAGCCCAGAGCCUGAAUCAGCAGGUGUGUUAGUGGAAGUGUCUGGAAAGGCGCGCGAUACAGGGUGAGAGCCCCGUACACGAAAAUGCACCUGCUGUGAGCUCGAUGAGUAGGGCGGGACACGUGGUAUCCUGUCUGAAUAUGGGGGGACCAUCCUCCAAGGCUAAAUACUCCUGACUGACCGAUAGUGAACCAGUACCGUGAGGGAAAGGCGAAAAGAACCCCGGCGAGGGGAGUGAAAAAGAACCUGAAACCGUGUACGUACAAGCAGUGGGAGCACCCUUUGGGGUGUGACUGCGUACCUUUUGUAUAAUGGGUCAGCGACUUAUAUUCUGUAGCAAGGUUAACCGUAUAGGGGAGCCGGAGGGAAACCGAGUCUUAAUUGGGCGUUAAGUUGCAGGGUAUAGACCCGAAACCCGGUGAUCUAGCCAUGGGCAGGUUGAAGGUUGGGUAACACUAACUGGAGGACCGAACCGACUAAUGUUGAAAAAUUAGCGGAUGACCUGUGGCUGGGGGUGAAAGGCCAAUCAAACCGGGAGAUAGCUGGUUCUCCCCGAAAGCUAUUUAGGUAGCGCCUCGUGAAUUCAUCUCCGGGGGUAGAGCACUGUUUCGGCUAGGGGGCCAUCCCGGCUUACCAACCCGAUGCAAACUGCGAAUACCGGAGAAUGUUAUCACGGGAGACACACGGCGGGUGCUAACGUCCGUCGUGAAGAGGGAAACAACCCAGACCGCCAGCUAAGGUCCCAAAGUCAUGGUUAAGUGGGAAACGAUGUGGGAAGGCCCAGACAGCCAGGAUGUUGGCUUAGAAGCAGCCAUCAUUUAAAGAAAGCGUAAUAGCUCACUGGUCGAGUCGGCCUGCGCGGAAGAUGUAACGGGGCUAAACCAUGCACCGAAGCUGCGGCAGCGGCACGCAAGUGUUGUUGGGUAGGGGAGCGUUCUGUAAGCCGCUGAAGGUGUGCUGUGAGGCAUGCUGGAGGUAUCAGAAGUGCGAAUGCUGACAUAAGUAACGAUAAAGCGGGUGAAAAGCCCGCUCGCCGGAAGACCAAGGGUUCCUGUCCAACGUUAAUCGGGGCAGGGUGAGUCGACCCCUAAGGCGAGGCCGAAAGGCGUAGUCGAUGGGAAACGGGUUAAUAUUCCCGUACUUGGUGUUACUGCGAAGGGGGGACGGAGAAGGCUAUGUUGGCCGGGCGACGGUUGUCCCGGUUUAAGCGUGUAGGCUGGUUUUCCAGGCAAAUCCGGAAAAUCAAGGCUGAGGCGUGACGACGAGGCACCACGGUGCUGAAGCAACAAAUGCCCUGCUUCCAGGAAAAGCCUCUAAGCGUCAGGUAACAUCAAAUCGUACCCCAAACCGACACAGGUGGUCAGGUAGAGAAUACCAAGGCGCUUGAGAGAACUCGGGUGAAGGAACUAGGCAAAAUGGUGCCGUAACUUCGGGAGAAGGCACGCUGACAUGUAGGUGAAGCGGUUUACCCGUGGAGCUGAAGUCAGUCGAAGAUACCAGCUGGCUGCAACUGUUUAUUAAAAACACAGCACUGUGCAAACACGAAAGUGGACGUAUACGGUGUGACGCCUGCCCGGUGCCGGAAGGUUAAUUGAUGGGGUCAGCGCAAGCGAAGCUCCUGAUCGAAGCCCCGGUAAACGGCGGCCGUAACUAUAACGGUCCUAAGGUAGCGAAAUUCCUUGUCGGGUAAGUUCCGACCUGCACGAAUGGCGUAAUGAUGGCCAGGCUGUCUCCACCCGAGACUCAGUGAAAUUGAACUCGCUGUGAAGAUGCAGUGUACCCGCGGCAAGACGGAAAGACCCCGUGAACCUUUACUAUAGCUUGACACUGAACACUGGUCCUUGAUGUGCAGGAUAGGUGGGAGGCUUUGAAGCGUGGACGCCAGUCUGCGUGGAGCCGUCCUUGAAAUACCACCCUUUAAUGGCUGGUGUUCUAACGUGGGCCCCUGACCGGGGUUGCGGACAGUGUCUGGUGGGUAGUUUGACUGGGGCGGUCUCCUCCCAAAGAGUAACGGAGGAGCACGAAGGUUGGCUAAUCCUGGUCGGACAUCAGGAGGUUAGUGCAAUGGCAUAAGCCAGCUUGACUGCGAGCGUGACGGCGCGAGCAGGUGCGAAAGCAGGUCAUAGUGAUCCGGUGGUUCUGAAUGGAAGGGCCAUCGCUCAACGGAUAAAAGGUACUCCGGGGAUAACAGGCUGAUACCGCCCAAGAGUUCAUAUCGACGGCGGUGUUUGGCACCUCGAUGUCGGCUCAUCACAUCCUGGGGCUGAAGUAGGUCCCAAGGGUAUGGCUGUUCGCCAUUUAAAGUGGUACGCGAGCUGGGUUUAGAACGUCGUGAGACAGUUCGGUCCCUAUCUGCCGUGGGCGCUGGAAGAUUGAGGGGGGCUGCUCCUAGUACGAGAGGACCGGAGUGGACGCAUCACUGGUGUUCGGGUUGUCAUGCCAAUGGCACUGCCCGGUAGCUAAAUGCGGAAGAGAUAAGUGCUGAAAGCAUCUAAGCACGAAACUUGCCCCGAGAUGAAUCUUCCCUGAGACUUUAAGUCUCCUGAAGGAACGUUGAAGACGACGACGUUGAUAGGCCGGGUGUGUAAGCGCAGCGAUGCGUUGAGCUAACCGGUACUAAUGAACCGUGAGGCUUAACCUU
rnacentral:rRNA from 1 species